rnacentral:rRNA from 1 species
UACGUAGGGGGCAAGCGUUGUCCGGAUUUAUUGGGCGUAAAGAGCGUGUAGGCGGCCUGAAAGGUCAGCUGUGAAAACUCGAGGCUCAACCUCGAGACGUCGGUUGAAACCAUCUGGCUAGAGUCCGGAAGAGGAGUGUGGAAUUCCCGGUGUAGCGGUGAAAUGCGCAGAUAUCGGGAAGAACACCCGUGGCGAAGGCGGCACUCUGGGACGGUACUGACGCGUGAGGAGCGAAAGCGUGGGGAGCGAACGAGG